rnacentral:tmRNA from 1 species
GGGGUUGCUUGGUUUUGACAGCUUGGAUGUGGAAAUGUAAGCACGUCGGACGUUGUAAGCAGGUUCCGUUAUCAGCCAACUUUCAUGCCAAUAAUAAAUGGCGAAAACAACAAUUUUGCUCUCGCUGCAUAACAAGGUUAUGUAGCCGGCCGCCUCGCCGAAAGCUUUUCUCUGCGGCGUUUGGACAAGAGGUGUCGUAAAGGCGGAGAUAGUUCUAUAGUGCCUCGCCUAUAGGGCGAAUGCUUAGAGGAUAAGUUCGCUAUCGGUUUAGCCUUGUACCUGUAUCGAAACGAAAACCAAACAAAGGAUAAGCGUGUAGAAAGCAUUUUUGCAACGAGUUUGGACGAGGGUUCGACUCCCUCCAGCUCCAC